rnacentral:ncRNA from 16 species
CAUGGCCUAAAGGAAAGGCGUUUCCCUCCUAAGGAAAAGAUUCUGGGUUCGAUCCCCGGU